rnacentral:rRNA from 1 species
UACGUAGGGACCAAGCGUUGUUCGGAUUUACUGGACGUAAAGGGCGCGUAGGCGGCAAUUCAAGUCAUCUGUGAAAUCUCCGGGCUUAACUCGGAACGGUCAGGUGAAACUGCUUUGCUAGAGUGCGGAAGGGGCAAUCGGAAUUCUCGGUGUAGCGGUGAAAUGCGUAGAUAUCCGGAGGAACACCGGUGGCGAAGGCGGUUGCCUGGAGCUUUGCUGACGCUGAUGCGCGAAAGCGUGGGGGAGCGAUCCGG